AUCCAACUGGUGUAGUGGUAACAUAGAUGAUUUCCAUUCAUCUGCCAUGGGUUCGAUUCCCGUGUUGGAGA
rfam:Sphaeroforma arctica JP610 cont1.11209, whole genome shotgun sequence.